GUCAGAAUGGCCGAGCGGUCUAAGAGGCGCCAGAUUUUGAAGUUCUGGUUCUCGAAAGAGAGUGUGGGUUCGAACCCCACUUCUGAUA